AGUGAACGCUGGCGGUAGACCUAACACAUGCAAGUCGAACGGCAGCACAGUAAGAGCUUGCUCUUACGGGUGGCGAGUGGCGGACGGGUGAGGAAUACAUCGGAAUCUACUUUUUCGUGGGGGAUAACGUAGGGAAACUUGCGCUAAUACCGCAUACGACCUACGGGUGAAAGCAGGGGAUCUUCGGACCUUGCGCGAUUGAAUGAGCCGAUGUCGGAUUAGCUAGUUGGCGGGGUAAAGGCCCACCAAGGCGACGAUCCGUAGCUGGUCUGAGAGGAUGAUCAGCCACACUGGAACUGAGCCACGGUCCAGACUCCUACGGGAGGCAGCAGUGGGGAAUAUUGGACAAUGGGCGCAAGCCUGAUCCAGCCAUACCGCGUGGGUGAAGAAGGCCUUCGGGUUGUAAAGCCCUUUUGUUGGGAAAGAAAAGCAGCAGGUUAAUACCCCGCUGUUCUGACGGUACCCAAAGAAUAAGCACCGGCUAACUUCGUG
rnacentral:rRNA from 1 species